rnacentral:rRNA from 1 species
ACGAACGCUGGCGGCGUGCCUAACACAUGCAAGGUCGAACGGGGUAAAGACUUCGGUUUUUACUUAGUGGCGAACGGGUGAGUAACGCGUGAGAAACCUGCCUUUCAGUGGGGGACAACAGUUGGAAACGACUGCUAAUACCGCAUAACGCAUAGAGAUCGCAUGGUCUUUAUGCCAAAGAUUUAUCGCUGAAAGAUGGCCUCGCGUCUGAUUAGCUAGUUGGCGGGGUAACGGCCCACCAAGGCGACGAUCAGUAGCCGGUCUGAGAGGAUGAACGGCCACAUUGGGACUGAGAUACGGCCCAGACUCCUACGGGAGGCAGCAGUGGGGAAUAUUGCACAAUGGGCGAAAGCCUGAUGCAGCGACGCCGCGUGAGUGAUGAAGUAUUUCGGUAUGUAAAGCUCUAUCAGCAGGGAAGAAAAAUGACGGUACCUGACUAAGAAGCACCGGCUAAAUACGUG